GGACCGAGGAAGAAAAGGCCUCCUGCGAAACAGUGAAAUAGUGGAGCACAUAGUUAGCAUUGACGACAUGGAGAAGCUAAUGAACCCAAUGCUAAAUCAUUCAGAUCCUGCAAACCAACUAAUCUUACAGGAAAGUAAUGUUGGCUUCAGUUUAUUGAAUGCUUCCUUGGUAAAAAUGCCC